CUCUGUGUCCCUUCACCUUGCCCCUCAGCAGUGCCAGCACCUUCUUAGGUUGCCAUUUUUUUCAUUUCAUUUCCUCUCUCAGUUUUUCUUUUUCUUUUCUUUUUUUCUUUUGAGUCAGAGUCUUGUUCUGUCACCCAGGCUGGAGUGCAGUGGCGGGAUCAUAGCUCACUGUAGCCCUGACCUUCUGGGCUCAAGAGAUCCUCCCACCUCAGCCUCCUGAGUAGCUGGGACCACAGGUGUGUGCCACCAUGCCCAGCUAAUAUUUAAAUUUUUUUUGUAUUGAUGGGGUCUUGCUCUGUUGCUCAGGCUGGUCUUUAACUUCUGGCCUCAAGUGAUCCUCCCACCUCAGCCUCCCAAAGUGCUGGAAUUUCAGGCAUGAGACACCUUGCCUGACCCAGACGACACUUUCUUUAGGCCCCAUGGAGGAGACUGAGGCACAUGCUCUCCAAAAUCUCCUCUUCCAGGAAGCCUGCCCUGGUUGCUCUCCUUUUAGCCCGACUGAAUUUAUCUAGUGCCUUAAACACCCUGGCUUUCUCAGGCUCACUCUGUCUCUAUUCAACACAUCUCUGCAAAGGAGUAGUCUGACAGAUAGGAGUGAUGGCAACUUGGAGCUACCCCAUUUGGUGAACUGAUGGUCAGAUAAGAUGUCUCUCCUCCUGGAAGCCCCCCAUCCCCAGGCCAGGAGCUCCUGGAGACAGAGACUGGGGCUGAGUCUUUUCUCUGUCAAAUGAACAGGGGACAAAGGUAAAGAAAGAAACCCAGAUUCAGAGCAAAAACCACCAGAGCAAACAAAGCUGGGAAUUGAAGUAUUUUUGUAUUUUUGAGAUGGGGUCUCACUGCUUUGCCCAGGCUGGAUGGAGUGCAGUGGUGAGACCACGGCUCACUGCUACCUCUGCCUGCGGGGCUCAAGCGAGCCUGUCACCUCGGCCUCCUGAGUAGCUGGCACUACAGGCACACACCACUAAGCCCAGCUAAUUUUUU
rnacentral:lncRNA from 10 species